rnacentral:rRNA from 1 species
UACGGGGGGGGCAAGCGUUGUUCGGAAUUACUGGGCGUAAAGGGCUCGUAGGCGGCCAACUAAGUCAUACGUGAAAUCCCUCGGCUUAACCGGGGAACUGCGUCUGGAUACUGGAUGGCUUGAGAUUGGGAGAGGGAUGCGGAAUUCCAGGUGUAGCGGUGAAAUGCGUAGAUAUCUGGAGGAACACCGGUGGCGAAGGCGGCAUCCUGGACCAACACUGGACGCUGAGGAGCGAAAGCCAGGGGAGCAAACGGGG